rnacentral:rRNA from 1 species
UACGUAGGGUGCGAGCGUUGUCCGGAUUUAUUGGGCGUAAAGGGCUCGUAGGCGGCGUGUCGCGUCGGGAGCGAAAGACCGGGCUUAACCCCGGUUCUGCUUCCGGUACGGGCAUGCUGGAGUGUGGCAGGGGAGACUGGAAGUUCCUGGUGUAGCGGUGGAAUGCGCAGAUAUCAGGAGGAACACCGGUGGCGAAGGCGGGUCUCUGGGCCGAUUACUGACGCUGAGGAGCGAAGCGUGGGAGCGAACAGG